UGGAGAACUCAGCUUUCAUAUGCCAGC
rnacentral:piRNA from 1 species